rnacentral:lncRNA from 1 species
GGUGCUCGAAGAAAUCUGUUAUAUCUAAGUAAGCGAUGCCAAUAUGAUUUUUAGAGAUAAAAUUAGCUUUCUUUUUCUUCUUCAGUGAUGAUUGGAUAUAGCUCAACCAAGUGUUUGCGAGUACGACAAUCACGUGCAUAGUAUCUUUUUGUACCACAUCAAAAACAAACACAUGCUCUAACUGCUUCACAUUUCUCAAUUUUCCCUUGUUCCUUUGAUGAAGUUAUUUCCUUGAUGAAUAACUAACACCAGGAACAUGAUUUUUUUCUUGACCAUAAUCAAAGCCACGACCACAUCUACAUCUACGUUCACGAUCAGAUCUGCAAUCCUUUCCAUGCCUAGCAUAGUGGGGGUACACCUCAUCCACUUCAGGAAAUGGUGUAGAUCCAGUAGGUCGAAGCUCGUGAUUUUUUAUUAAAAAAUUAUUAUUUUAUUUAGCCACAAGAAGAUGAUAACUUAGCUUAGAAUACUUCUUAAAACCUUUCUCUCGAUAUUACUAUUGCAAGAGCAUAUUCGAGGCAUGAAAGGCAGAGAGUGUAUUUUCCAUCAUGUCACAUCAUAUCAACAUUAUUAAUAGUCUCUCAACAUAGUUUUAACUAAGAAAAAAUUUUGAACAUGGCAGAUUUAUAUUCAUGAAUAGACUUAUAGUCUUGAAAUCUCAGAUGCAUCCAAUCAUAUCAUGCUUUUGGAUGUACAACCAUCUAAAUAGCCAUACCUUUCUUUUAGUCUAUUCCACAAAAUAAGUUGAUUCUUAACAGUAAGAUUUUCUAAUUUUUAAAUUUUAUCUAUACGAUGAUGCAAGAAUAUCAUAACCUUAUCAUAACCUGGGUUUGAUGUUUUAUUUUUAUUUUUAUUUUUAAUGGUGUCUCUAAAACUCAUAGCAUCCAAAUGGAUUUCAGCAUCCAAUACCUAUGAAAGGUAGUUCUUUUCCAAACUUUGACAGGUAACGAACUCAAGUUUCAUAAGUUUAGACAUAUUAAAAGUUUAUCCUUUAAAUUUUGAGAUAGUGGAGUCUCGUGCUAAUAACGUGUUAUAAAAUAAAAUAACAGAGUAAAGAAAUUGAGCAACAGAUAAUGAAGUCUUUUGUUAAUUUUUAAUUUGUGUAUAAAAUGAAAACAAAGUUAUGCCAUUAUAGGCAAUCUUGCCAACCAUUCCAACCUAUGGAAAUAGUUGGUUUAUAGAUGGAAAGUCUACCUUUGAAAAACAAGACUAUUAACAAUGGAGAAGAAAUCCACACUUAUGUUAUUUCUUCACAUCCCCAAAUAUCAUUGCUUUUUUAUGUCCAUAAUAAUAAAUAAAAAUUUGAUUGUUCUCUAUAGCACAGAAACUGAAAUAAAAUAGUCUCAAUCCUCAACUGUACACCCGGCAACGGCGAUACUAUCUUUAUUUAACAUCAUUUUGAUUUUUAUAAUAUCAAAAAUCUAGCAACUAGGAGAUCUUGAGAUUAUUAUUUGGACAUUUAAGUAAAAGAUUCAUCGAGAUAUCGAGGAUAGCAUGAGAAAAGGAGAUAAAAUGAACCGUGGAUAGGUAAUAUUGAAGCUGAAAUGGGAAAACUAUAGAGAAGGAAAGAGCUUUUGGUGAGGCAGGGAAGGGGGAAAUAGAUUUGGGGAUUGAAAUGACAAUCCCUAAUUUUCAUUAGUUGGAAAGAAAUAGUAUAUUCUUUUGGGAAAUUUUAAAAGUUAGCUGGAUGAACGAAAUAGUGAGGAGAAGUUCUCUAGGAAAU